GACCUGAUGGUGUAGUGGUAACAUGCCUGCUGAAUUUGCGGAUAUAUUGCAGGCCAUGAGGCAGUUAAGCAGGAGGCUCCGGUUCGAACCCGGGUCAGGUUA